CUACGGGGGGCAGCAGCCGAGAAUAUUCCGCAAUGGGCGAAAGCCUGACGGAGCGACGCCGCGUGAUUGAUGAAGUCCCUCUGGGACGUAAAGAUCUUUUGUCGGGGAAGAAAUUAUUGACGGUACCCGAAGAAUAAGAGGCCCCUAAUCUCGUGCCAGCAGGAGCGGUAAUACGAGAGCCUCGAGCGUUAUCCGGAAUCAUUGGGCGUAAAGGGUGCGUAGGUUGUUCUGUUAGUCUUUUGUUAAAUUCUGGGGCCCAACCCUAGAGAAGCAGAAGAUACGGCAGAACUUGAAAGUGCGAGAGGUAUACGGAACUCAUGGUGUAGGGGUGAAAUCCGUUGAUAUCAUGGGGAACACCAAAAGCGAAAGCAGUAUACUGGCGCAUGUUUGACACUUAAGCACGAAAGCGUGGGUAGCGAAUGGGAUUAGAUACCCUAGUAGUC
rnacentral:rRNA from 1 species